AAGGCUUGACAUGUUCGGCAAAGUUGCUGAAAGGCAAUAGAGGUUAUCCGAACACAGGUGCUGCAUGGCCGUCGUCAGUUCGUGCCGUGAGGUGUAUGGUUAAGUCCUAUAACGAACGCAACCCUUGGGCUUAGUUACCAGCAUUCAGUUGAGAACCCUAAAUAGACUGCCAGGGUAACCUGGAGGAAGGAGAGGAUGACGUCUGAUCAUCAUGCCCCUUAUGCCUUGGGCUACA
rnacentral:rRNA from 1 species